UAUUAUAUUGGAAGCGUUGAACUACAUACUUAAUUGGGCACUUUGUAUGUAGGAAGCAGCUAGUGCAACCGGCCAAAUAUUG
rnacentral:ncRNA from 2 species